AUUGAACGCUGGCGGCAGGCCUAACACAUGCAAGUCGAACGCGAGGCGGAGGGGUGAGCAAUGGCUGGGAACCUGCCUGAUGGAGGGGGAUAACUACUGGAACCGGUGGAUAAAACCGCAUACCAUCGGAUUUGCCCUGAUGGGAUGAGCUAGUAGGUGGGGUAAAGGCUAACCUAGGCGAAGAUCCCUAGCUGGUCUGAGAGGAUGACCAGCCACACUGGAACUGAGACACGGUCCAGACUCCUACGGGAGGCAGCAGUGGGGAAUAUUGCGCAAUGGGCGCAAGCCUGAUGCAGCCAUGCCGCGUGUAUGAAGAAGGCCUUCGGGUUGUAAAGUACUUUCAGCGGGGAGGCGUUACCCGCAGAAAAAGCACCGGCUAACUCCGUGCCAGCAGCCGCGGUAAUAC
rnacentral:rRNA from 1 species